rnacentral:rRNA from 1 species
CUACGGGUGGCUGCAGUAGGGAAUCUUAGACAAUGGGGGAAACCCUGAUCUAGCCAUGCCGCGUGAGUGAUGAAGGCCUUAGGGUUGUAAAGCUCUUUCGCUGGGGAAGAUAAUGACGGUACCCAGUAAAGAAACCCCGGCUAACUCCGUGCCAGCAGCCGCGGUAAUACGGAGGGGGUUAGCGUUGUUCGGAAUUACUGGGCGUAAAGCGAGCGUAGGCGGGCUAUUAAGUCAGGGGUGAAAUCCCGGGGCUCAACCCCGGAACUGCCUUUGAUACUGGUAGUCUUGAGUUCGAGAGAGGUGAGUGGAAUUCCGAGUGUAGAGGUGAAAUUCGUAGAUAUUCGGAGGAACAUCAGUGGCGAAGGCGACUCACUGGCUCGAUACUGACGCUGAGGUGCGAAAGUGUGGGGAGCAAACAGGAUUAGAUACCCUUGUAGUC